AAGAAGAGAGACGCAGAGAGACAGACAGAUGGAGGAGAAGCAUGCAGCAGCAGAGAGGAGGAGAAACAAAGCGUGUUGACUGAGGAAGUGUGCAUGCCAUGCGGGCCAUGUGCUCAGAAAAUCUGUAAUAAGGUAGGACUGUCUUUUCUUGUUGCUAUUCAGAAGCUUCGUAUUCAAAAGGGGUUGGAUUUUGUUGUGUGUGUGUGUGUGUGUGUGUUUUCACUCACCUUUUCCAAGUUUUAAAUCCCAUGCAGUGCUUCUUUUUUUUGUUGGGGUUUGAUGAUGCCAUUGUCAGUGGGAGGUUUUGUUUUUAAUGUUGCAUGAUAUGAUUUGCAAAAAAAAAAAAGACAAAGUGGAAUUGUUCAUGUCAGAUUGAUGCCACAGAUGUAGUGCAAAUGAGGAAAUUUUAUUCAGAUCUGGCUGUCUCAUACCGCGUGUGUGUGUCUGUGUGUGUGUAUGUGUGUGUGUGUGUGUUUUUGUGUGUGUGUGUGUGUGUGUGUGUGUGUGUUGAGCUGUGAUGCUCUAGUAUACUGGAUAUUGGCAGGACUGAGGAAUGUGUGAGACUUCUCCCCAAGAUCUCUUUGUUCCCUCUCUCUCUCGUUUUCUUUCUCCUUUUUUCUCUCCGGGAUUGCACACCACACACACACACACACACACACACACACACACAGUCAAACCAACUCUUGCAGAAAACCAGUUGAAACUUCCCACCGGCAGGAGAAAAAUGUCUGGAAUGUGAUUAUCACGUAUUUGUGUUUAUUUUAUCACUGCGGGUCGCUCGCAAAGCAAAGAGGAAACCAGAUCAGGCGCAUGCCCGGCACUUAGUGUGAAACUGUGUGUGUGUGGGGGUGUGUGUGUGUGUGUGUGUGUGUGUGUCUGUGUGUGUGUCUGUGUGUGUGUGCUGACAUGUGUGUGCUCAGUGGUGGCGGGUGGGGAGGGAAUAGGGUGGGAGGGGGUAAAGAGUGAGAGCUAUUUGGCAGUGCACGUGAGUGUGUGGGUGGUUGUGUGGGUGUCAGGGUGAGUGGGUGCAGAGCUCUCUUUGAGUGAGAGCACAUGUGACUCCAAGUGUGUGUGGGUGUUGAGUGUGUGUGUGCGUGUGUGUGUGCGUGUGUGUGUGUGUGUGUGUGUGUAGAUGAAGGUGAAAUGUAUGUGUGUGAAAAGGUAAGGCGAUUGUGUGUUUCCGAGUCCGACCUUUGCAUCAAAAGGAGGUGGAGGAAAAAAAAAAAAAA